UCAAUGAAGAGUUUGAUCCUGGCUCAGAACGAACGCUGGUGGCGUGUCUUAUACAUGCAAGUCGAGCGAGGCAGCAAUGCCGAGCGGCGAACGGGUGAGUAACGCGUAAGCAAUCUGCCCCAUAUCAGGAAAUACCCGUGCCAACGCGCGGUUAAUGUCCAGGAGAGUGGCCCUCUGCAUGGAGGGUUGACUAGAGAUUUAUCGGUACGGGAUGAGCUUGCGUCCGAUUAGCUAGUUGGCGGGGCAACGGCCCACCAAGGCGA
rnacentral:rRNA from 1 species